CAAAAGAAUAUGUGAAGGGAAGUAGGGUUUGGAUUCGUAUUUUAUUCCUCAUUGAUUUGUCCAAGAUGACAUUUAUGGAGUAAUCCCUAGUCACAUCUGAUUUUUUAUUUAAAAUUAAGGUCUUUCACUUCAAAUCGAAGGACACAGAGAAUUUAUAAUGCUGGGGGUUAAAGAGGCUCUAAUGUAAAACAGAUGAAAAGGGAAUGGAACUAAGGAAAGGCGAUUUGGAAGCCUCCCUCCCUCCCCCAUCAGCAGUCCUGAGGACCUCUGCUCCAGGUUGCUCAAAGUGUGAGCUUCCAUGAAUUACUGGGGGCAAUUGUUAAAAACGCAGAUUCCUGGGCCCCAUCCCUCUGGUUCAGACUUCAAAAAUUGACAUCUUUUGACAAGAACCUGCAGUGAUUCAUAUGUACUCUAAAGCUUCCAGAUGCAAGAAAGCCCCUUGGACUGGAGUGGGGUGCUCCAGAUAAUUUUAAUAAUUAAUCUGACAUUUGGGAGCCAUUCAACUACAUGGCUCUCUUAAGUGAUAUUAUCUCAGUCUGUAGUUCUCAAAGUGUGAUCCUGCAAUAUCAGCAACACCUGGAACUUUCAGAAAAGCACAUUCUUAGGCCCCACGGCAGCCCUGAAUCAGAAUCCGGGGCAUAGCCUAGCAAUCUAUGUUUUAACAAGCCCUGCAGGUGAUUCUGAUGCUGCUAAAGUUUGAAAACUGCUUGAUAAAACUCGCUCCCUAAAUCACAUUCCCCAACAAUUCAAUAACACACAUUGGCACCCUCUGAGCUGCUUCUCCCAGGAACUUCAGAAGGUCCAGGUUCAAAGAAGUUAGAGUCCUCAAGGAUCUGCUGGUGGCACUUUCUUUGCAUCCCUGACUUCAGUACUGGAGUGAUCAGGAGAAUGUCAAGUUUCAGGUGGUAGAAAGAAGUCUUUCUCUGAAUAUAAACAAAUGGUGGCUUUUAUAAAGUUUUAAUUUCAUUCUUUGUACUUUUCAGAUUUUCCAGCUGUUAAGCAAUUGGGAUCAGCAAGAAUACAGCACAUACCUGGAAAAUAAAAGCAAUCAGCACAAAGUGAUUUUGUCCACAGGAUGUACUACCUCUACCUUCCAGGCUGUGGUUCCACCGACUCUGCUUGGUCAAGAUCGCUUCUUACAUUCUGAUGAAGUGUCUCUGGGAACUGGCUGUCCUGUAACUAACAUAACUGAGAAGGGGUAUGAGUUUAAUUAUCUUGUCACCGAGUGUGGGAUUCAGAAAGAGGUAAGAAGAACUGUGACCAUUUCAAAAUAACAAACUAACCUGCCCCCCCCCCCCACCAAAUAAUCUUGCUGUGGCCACUGUGCUUAAGUCAGUGCAAGGCCAGAGAUCUCAUUUUUAUGACACUUGGGUUUGGUACUUUUAGGAUGGGAAGACCAAUGCGACCCAGGAAUUGGCCUUGAAGAGCUCUCGGCCCAUUAGGAGACAGUGCAGUGUCAUAUAUUUUAUUAUGACUUUUCAAGCACUCAUAAAUCUUUGGUCCUUAGAUCUCCUAGAAACACCAAAAAAAAAAAUAUCAUUUCCAGUUUUCAUGUUAAUACCUGAGCCUAAAAAUGCUGGCAGUUUACCACAGGUCAUGGAGCUCUCCAGCAGAAGGACUGAAAUUUAGAUAUUGGUAACUACAGAUUUACAUUCUUUUGAAGAAGGCAAUGGGAAAUUGUGGAUCACAAUAUAUUUUAGAGAUGGAAAACACUGGGAGGAUUCAGAGGAUGGAAAGAUUAGUGAAAGUUGGAUUAGAGGUGAAUUUUCUGGUACCUUGUUGGUAAUUUUUACAUCUCCAUGAAUGAGUUUGGGCUAUAAUUGCCCUUUCUAAUAUGCUUUAUCAUGUUUUGGAGUAGUUUGAGUAAGAUUUUUUGGUAUUUAUUUUUCUUUUUGGUUAUCUAACUAGAAUGAAGUUGAGUCCUAGUUGUUUUAAUACAACUGUGGAGUGGGAAGAGAGCUAGGGAAUGAAUCCAGGUUUCCUGACAAGAACUUUCAAAUGACUCAAUGCUGACCUUUGGUGGAGAAUGAAAAAGUGGGCUCUGCAUUUUAACAUGCAGUGGUUUUACACCGUGAGCUCGUGAGAAAUAUUGAGUGGAGAAUAACUCCAUGAUCUAUUGAGGGCAUGUGUGUGUGUGAGCCUGCUAUACAAACAGUUCUAGUUUCCUUCCAUAUACUUUCACAUCCACAAAACAUAUUGAUUCAACUUCUUUUUUGGAAGUUUGCAUAUUUCUAUUUUUUUUUUUUUGGUUUUAUGAACCUUUCCCACAUUUCAAAGCAUGACGUAAGAGAGAAAGCUAAAAACCUAAAAGGGGUAGUAGUCUGAUUUUAUGAAGUUUAUACUGAUUUUAUGAAGUUUAUACAGUUAAGUAAGAUACUAAGAGAGAUGCAUGGAGAUCAACUACAAUGUUAUUAUGGGGACGACAAACCAUGAAAU
rnacentral:lncRNA from 1 species